GUCGCACGUGGACGCAUGGAGGAUGGAAGCAGUUAUCACAGGAAUGGAAGAACUAGGAUGCCCAAGUGACGGGAAGGAGGACAAGGAAGAUACUUCUAGUGGAAGGAAAGAAGUGAUGAAGGCUCAAGAGAAAGACUUAGAAAUCCAAGAAAACGGGGUGGAACUUAACGGGAAAGGGGUGGAGCUAAGAGAAAAAGGGGCGGAGUUAAAAGAAAAAGAGGCGGAGUUACAAGAGAAGGAGGUGGAAUCAAUUGCGAAAGAGAAAGAGCAGAAUCCACUUGAAGAAAGGUUGGAGCCCUGUAUGGAAGAUAAAAAAUCACUAGAGGAAGGGACCGAGGCCAAAGAGAAGGGGACAGAGCUUGUAAAAGGUGUGGAAUCUCAGAAGAAAGGGGAGGAAUCACGAAGGGCGGAGCAACCUAGAAAUGGAGAGGCGUCAUCAGAAAGCAGGCUGCAAGUACCUAAAUGUGAGGGAGUAUCACUAUCCAGGGAAAUAAAAAGGAGAGACGGCGACCUGAUGUCAAAGGGAGGUGAAGUGGAUCGCUAUUAUGUCCUAGGUCAGCAAAUAAACAUAGAAGAAGACCUUUGCCACGAGUUCAAAGGUCACCGCAGCAUCUCCAUCCACGACCUUCACAACCUGUGUCUAAACACCGAUGGAACGUCAGACCGCAGCCGCAAUGCCGUGUCAAUUCCUGUGUGUGCCAUGUUGAAUUCGAGUCACGGUGGCACGAUUUAUCUCGGAGUGGCAGACGACGGCCAGGUGAAGGGCAUGGGACUUACCAGGUACCAGCGCGACCACGUAGAGGCGUCUCUCAAGUGGACACUGAGCAAGUACACCCCACCUGUAUCUGAAUCGCGGUAUUGCGUUAAGUUCGUGCCUGUGGCUUCCUCCAAAAACGCACAGAGGUCUUUCAAGUUCCAGGAAGAAAUAGUGGACGAAGAAAGGCGUGGUCAACCUCAUCAUGUAGCACAGCCUAAUUACUGCUGGUGUGAUAUGGACGCCUCUGCUCUGCGAGCUCUUGGAAGGCUGCCCAUGCUUUUCGUGGUGGAGGUGCAUAUCCGCCCAUGGGACCCUCACUGCCACGCUUCCAGCGUGGAGAGGAACCCCCUGUAUGGUGACGCUCCUCCCCUGCCCCCUUUGCACCUUACGGAAGCCGGCGGGAUGUACGUUCGUCAGAGUUGUCGUCAGUCGAGGCUGUGCCUCGAGGACGUCCGGAGACUUGAAGUGCACCGAGUGAAGGAUCAUUACGCGCUGAAGGCGGAGGCUCUCGAAGCACGCUACCACGCUCUCAGGGACCUCGCCCUCCAACACGGCGUCGAAGUGCCCACGUGAGUCCCCGCUGAGGUUGUUCUUCACAGCCCCAGUUGCAGACUCUUGGGAGACUUGUGCAAGGAAAAGGAGGAGAUAGUUUCUCGUGCGGAUCCCGAGACACUGUGACAAAAAACCGUCUGAAGUCAUAGGCAGCCAAAGAAGAAGAAUUUUUGUCAAGAGGACUGCAUUAACGUCAUAAAAAAGAAGUUUUAUCUCCUGUUUUCUCGAACACACUCGCCAAGGUGCCGCUCUGAGUAGGUUCUCCUGUCUUUGGCUUGUGAUUCCCGCUUAAAUAUUGCCAGUAAAGACUGUUCUCGUCCUUUUAAUCUGUUUUAAACUCAAGUAGACGACUUUACUCGCCAAUCGGCAAAAGCUGAAUAAAAAAGAAAAAAAUA